UUCGACCUGAACUCAGA
rnacentral:rRNA from 1 species